UACGUAGGGUGCAGGCGUUAAUCGGAAUUACUGGGCGUAAAGCGCACGUAGGCGGCUUUGUAAGUUAGAGGUGAAAGCCCAGGGCUUAACCCUGGAAUUGCCUUUAAGACUGCAUCGCUCGAAUUGUGGAGAGGUGAGUGGAAUUCCGAGUGUAGAGGUGAAAUUCGUAGAUAUUCGGAAGAACACCAGUGGCGAAGGCGACUCACUGGACACAUAU
rnacentral:rRNA from 1 species